GUCGGCGCAGCUAGCUACCCUCUUUCGCCACAGUAUUAUGUAGGCACACAAUGAUCGUUACAUACAAGUAUCCGUCAUAUCCAUGCACCAAACCCAGAUGAAUGUGUAGGCUAGGCCUAGAAGAAUUUCAUAAUCGUGGACUCGGAGUCAAGGAUGGUGAAAUCCUAACAAUUUUCGACACGGACUUUGGUGAAUACAUCACAUACAGUCCUGAAUAUGAAGUAUCAGCCCUGGACAAGUUGAAAAUUGGUGUGGCUUUGAAAAGAAGCCUCCAGAGAAAAUCACUGAUCUCUUAGCAAAGAGAAAGAAAAAAAAAAGUGAGGGAAGUCCUCUGCAACAAAACAGGCGUGCUGAGCAGAUUUGACAGAAUCUGCUCAGAAUCCCAUGCUGGAGAUUCUGACAGAAUCCCAUGAUGGAGUCAGGUCCAGCAAAGGAGGGGGUACAAGAUACUUGACCGUUUCUACCAACUCCUCAUACUCCGAGCUUUGCAAAAAAGGGUCUGGAUGCAUUUUUUUUCCUCUGGAAAAUCAGCCCAAGGACCAAGAUCAGGCUUCAAGUUGGACGGACUAGGCACAUUUCAACAACUGUUGGCAGAAGCAGAGCCGUGUACUCUUGUGAGAAGCUCAACUUCAGAAGAGUCUGAAGGAGAACAUGGCAGUGAGUCUAGUCAUCCAAGAAAUCUUGAGGCAACUAAGUACAUCGUACAUGCGUGGAGAAUAACGUAGAAUGCUGUGUGUGGUCUGAACAGUACCAGUGCUGGUGGUGGAAUGACUCACUCAAGACGGCGCAAGAUGGCGAACUUCACCGUGAAUGCACGUAACUUUCAGAAAGUCCACACUUUGCCACAUCUGUGCUGACAGGGAGACAGACAGUUUUCUUGUGCCUUGUGGACAUACUUUUUGCUUUCUGUGUGCAACACAUAUGCAUGUGAGUGACCAACAGUGUCCUUUUUGUAAGGUUGGCUCACAAUCCGUUGGGAAACUCUAUUGACAUGAUCUGCUACGCUCAUCUGGCAGUUUGGAAGUUUUACAGUCAGUUAUUAGUUACUGUUGAGAUAGUCAAUAAGGCAUUAUUUGUAAACAAUCCUGCAGCUUUACAGUCUUUCACAAUCAGUUAUUUGUUACGAGUGAGAAAUAUCAAUGAGAAAUUAUGUGUAACAAUCCUGUAACUUUAAAGUAUGUACAAUCAGUCAUUUGUUACUGGUCAAAGAAAUCAAUGAGAAAUUAUAUUUAACAUUCUUAUUUGUUACUGGUAAUCUGUCCUGUGGUUUGAUCAUUGUUUUUAAAGUGUUAAAUAAGUUAAAAGUUUCUCUUGUUAACUAAAGUUGGAAAACUAUGUUACUGCAUUUGUUUCGUUGAGAUUUCUUGUGGGAGAGGCUGUGAAAGGUCAGCUUUUUUUUAUUUAGGCCUGUGGGUUAUAGUCAAAUCUUUUCAUGAACCAAAUCUUUUAAUGCAUGUCGAUUCCAAUAUACAGAUAAUUUUAUACAAUCAGAUUCUUGGGAGUAUUUUAUAUCACAACUCAUCAAAAUUCAUUAAUUAAGGUAUACUGCCAUUAUCUUAGUGAUGUAAAUCUUACUCUGGUGACGAAUGUACCAUUGGCUAGAGAAGUGUGUGGAAAAAGUAUUGAUUUAAAUUGAAAUCAAAACUUUAGUCUGUAACAUGAUGGCUGUCAUACAGUUGCCCUUUGUCAGAAAGUGUCCAUGCGUUUUUUCUGAGGUUUCCAUAACAUGGUUUCUUGUUCGUGAAUGCUAAGUAGCAUACCAAGUGAACUGAUUUUCGGUAAAAGAAUUGAUUCAUUCAUUCUGAUAAAUGGGCAAUGGCUGCAUUAGUUUUUCUUGAUGUUGAACUUAGUUAUGAGUGUAGAAAAUACAUUUUUGAUACCUCUAAAGGGAUAUUAGAAAAAUGUUUGGAUUGAACAGGUGCACACAAGCUUUGAAGGUUUGGUUCCAGUCUUCCCUGAUAACGUUUUGCUUUGCCAUUUAGUUUUCCUUUAGCUUUUAUACCUGUGAAUAUCUGCUGUUUUACAUGUUUUAUAUACACAUGGUUUAUUUGUAUAAUCUAUAUUUCUAAAGGAAUAUAUACACAAUUAAAUGUUCUUUCUCUUUACUUAAAAAAUGAAGUGAACGUUACAUUUUGCUGUUGUUGGUUGUUAUUAUUAUUUUCAUUAUAGUCAUUAUUAUCAUUUAUUCCACCAAAUUUGGAAAACAAGAAAAAAAUUACAAUCACAGAUAUCGGUAAUAUAUUCGGCAAGUUUAACAAAUACAAAUAGCGAGGGGGGUUGGAGGGUGCAGGUGGUUAGGGGAGGGGUGUAGUAGGUUGAAGGAA